GGCCCCGAGGGGACAAAUGAGGCCGCAUUAGCUGUUUUUGCCUCCCACGCAGCCCCGUUUUUUUGUUGUUGUUGUUCUCGUUCUCCGAGACGGGGUAUUGCUCUUGCUCUGUCAUCCGCCAGGAUGGAGUGCAGUGGCGCGAUCACGGCUCACUGCAACCUCCGCCUCCCGGGUUCAAGCAAUUCUCCUGCCUCAGUCUCCAGAGUAGCUGGGAUUACAGGCGCGCGCCACUAUACCCGGCUAAUUUUUGUAUUUUUAGUAAAGACGGGGUUUCACCAUGUUGGCCAGGCUGGUCUCGAACUCCUAACCUCAUGAUCCGUCCGCCUCGGCCUCCCAAGUGCUGGGAUUACGGGCGUGAGCCAUCGCGCCCGGCCGCAACCUUGUUUUGACUGAGUCAGUGGGAGCCAUUACUGUUCCUCCAUGUACACUGGCGUGACAAGAGUUCCGGGAUUCGCCACAGCACCGACUCGGAUACAAAUUAUCCAGUCCGCUGCAGGGACCGGUCACUGUGUCACAGGUUCUCCAGGGGGCCAGAACUAACAGGAUAUAUGUAUAUAUUGAAAGGGACUUCAUUAGGGAGAAUUGGCUCACACGGUCAUCAGGCGAAGUCCCACCACAGGCCGUCUACAAGCUGAGGAAGGAAGAAGCCAGCAUGUCUCCAAGUCCGAAAGCCUCAAAAGUUGGGAAGCCAAUGGCCAGCCUUCAGUCUGUGGCAGAAGGCCCAAGAGUCCCCAACAAACCACAGGGAGAAGUUCAGGAGUCCAAAGGCCAAAGAACCUGGAGUCUAAUGUCCAGGGACAGGAAGCAUCCACCACAGGAGAAAAUGAAAGCCAGACGACUCAGCAAGCCAGCCCCUCCCACCUUCUGC